UGAGGAACAUGACCUUCGGCGGGGGAGUAGCCGGCCCAACGGCCGGGUAAUACCGCGUACGACCACAUGGGGACAUCCCUGAGUGGUGAAAGCAGCAAUGCUCCGAUGGAGUGCCUCGCGGCCUAUCAGCUAGUUGGUGAGGUCAUGGCUCACCAAGGCGACGACGGGUAGCUGGGUCCGAGAGGAUGACCAGCCACAUUGGGACUGAGACACGGCCCAGAUCCCGUAACGGGG
rnacentral:rRNA from 1 species